AUCUCUGUGACACAGUGGGUCAGUGUGUUUUGCUGUUAACCAGAAGGUUGGUAGUUCGGGCCUGCCCAGGGACA